rnacentral:lncRNA from 1 species
AGUGAAUUGUAUGUAUAGGUAUGUUUUUGGAGGUAGUAGCACAUUUUUCUAAAGAGCAUCGGUUGGAAUAAUGCCAACCUGGAAAAGGUGCAUAAACUGAUUCUGAAAAUGAGUGUAACCGGCAGAGUAGUCACUGUCUGGGUGAAGUUUGUCCCUCUGCAGCUACGGUAUCCCUCUGAUGUCACGGUGUCCAGCUGGCUGCUGAGUGGUUAACAAUUCAUUAGCAGCCAGGUGCUAUAUAAGUCUUCACUGUCGGGCUAAGAGAGAUUCCCUGGUCUACAGUCUUGUUGCUGUUUGGAUGUGUGGCUCCUCUGUGUAACCAAGGUAUAUGUAGAUGUUUAUACGAUGUAGCAGGCUAAGCAUUUAGCAUUGUUUGUUUAAUACUGGGUUAUUGGAAAAUAGGUGUCAGACUGAUUGCCAGACGCUUCCGGGUAGUCGUGCGGUGUACUACCGAAGGUAUUUUUGUGCAUCUUAUUGCGUUACAAUGUGAGUGUCAUCGGGCAAGGCACCUGCCGGGUAGCUGUACCACCAUUAAGACGCAAUAUCUAAAAGUUAUUUUGCUGUGGCCUCUGUCUAGUGCCCCUGUCGGACCAAUGUGGUAUUGGCUGUUCCAGUAGUAUACAUAGUCCUGU